rnacentral:misc_RNA from 1 species
UGUCAUUUAUUCGUUCAUUCUUGUAUUUCUUGUGUUUUGUGAAGUUAUUCAGAAAGUGAAAAUGCAACCUCAGAUCCUUGUGCUGAAGGAGGGGACGGACCAGUCUCAGGGGAAGCCGCAGCUCAUCUCCAACAUCAAUGCGUGCCAGCUUGUCGUCGAUGCUGUACGUACCACACUGGGCCCACGUGGCAUGGACAAGCUGAUUGUCGAUCACAAUGGCAAAGCGGUCAUCUCCAACGAUGGAGCUACUAUUAUGAAGUUGUUGGACAUUGUUCACGCUGCUGCUAAAACUCUGGUGGAUAUCGCCAAAUCACAGGACGCUGAGGUUGGUGAUGGCACCACGUCUGUGGUGAUCCUCGCCGGAGAGAUCCUAAAAAGGAUGAAGCCUUUCGUUGAGGAGGGCGUCCACCCCCGCAUCAUAGUGCGCGCCAUCCGCACGGCGGGCAAGCUGGCUGUGGAUAAAGUGAAGGAGCUGAGCGUCAAGAUUGACAACAAGUCUCCCGAGGAGCAGAGAGAUUUGCUCCAGAAGUGUGCUGUGACCGCGAUGUCAUCCAAGCUGAUCCACCAGCAGAAGGGGCACUUCUCCAAGAUGGUGGUGGACGCCGUGCUGUCCCUGGACGCCCCGCUGCUGCCUCUGGAUAUGAUUGGCAUCAAGAAAGUGUCAGGCGGCGCGCUGGAGGACUCCUUCCUGGUGGCCGGUGUGGCGUUCAAGAAGACGUUCUCGUACGCCGGCUUCGAGAUGCAGCCGAAGAGCUACGACGACUGCAAGAUCGCGCUGCUCAACAUCGAGCUCGAACUCAAGGCCGAGAGGGAUAAUGCUGAGGUGCGCGUGGACAACGUAAAGGAGUACCAGAAGGUGGUGGACGCGGAGUGGCAGAUCCUGUACGAGAAGUUGGCUACGCUUCACGCCAGCGGCGCUAACGUGGUGCUCAGCAAACUGCCCAUUGGCGACGUCGCCACCCAGUACUUUGCCGACAGAGACAUGUUCUGCGCGGGCCGCGUGCCGGAGGAGGACCUGCGGCGCACGCAGCGCGCCUGCGGGGGCGCCGUGCUCACCUCGGUGCGGGACAUGAAGCCCGCGGCGCUGGGGCACUGCAAGCACUUCACCGAGAGGCAGGUCGGAGGCGAGCGGUACAACAUCUUCACUGGGUGUCCAGCGGCGAAGACGUGCACGAUGAUCCUGCGCGGCGGCGCCGAGCAGUUCCUCGAGGAGACGGAGCGCUCGCUGCACGACGCCAUCAUGAUCGUGCGCAGGACCAUCAAGAACGACGCCGUCGUCGCGGGCGGCGGCGCCAUCGACAUGGAGCUGUCGCGGCACCUGCGCGAGCACUCCAAGGCCGUGGCCGGCAAGGAGCAGCUGCUGCUGGCGGCCGCCGCGCGCGCCUUCGAGGCCAUCCCGCGCCAGCUGGCCGACAACGCGGGGCUCGACGCCACCACGCUGCUCAACAAGCUGCGCCAGCGGCACCACCAGGGUGACAAGUGGUAUGGCAUUGAUAUAGUGAAGGAGGAUAUUGGAGACAACUUCGAGUCGUGCGUGUGGGAGCCCGCCAUCGUCAAGAUCAACGCAGUCACCGCCGCUUGCGAGGCUGCCGCGCAGAUCGUGUCAAUCGACGAGACAAUCAAGAAUGCGAAGGGCGAAGCGCCGCCGCAGAUGGGCGGUAUGCCCGGCCGGGGCAUGGGCCGCCCGCGAAUGGGAUAACUUUCUAUAGAUAUACUCUUAUAUUUAUAUACCGCAACUUUUAUCGAGGGUGACCAUAACGGAAUGUUGAAGCGGUGACUGAAAAUUCAAAUUAAUUUUGUCGACAUAAGUGGGUAAAUAAGUUACUCGGUGAAUGUCACCCUCAAAAUUAACAUAAAUACUACAUAAGUUCUCGAAUGUAUCCCAAUGAGGUACAUUCCAAUCGGCGUUCCCCAAACACACGAUAGAUGGAGUUGUUAAGUUUUUUCUACGUUCAAACUUCUAAUUUCACGGAUAACAUACAUUCAAAUUCAAAAAUAUCUUCAUUCAGUAGGUAACAUAGUUACACUUUGAAUCGUCAAUUUUUACGUAACGAACGUCUCAUCCGCCUAAAACUACUGCAGCUUCUCACAACCUGUAUAGCCGGGGAAAAG